rnacentral:snRNA from 1 species
GAGCUCGGACGCGAGUUCUAU